UUAUUUUUUCAAUUGUUAAAACUCUUUUUGUCUCCUCUCGUGUUUACGUUUAAGUUCUAGACUUUCUGUUUUGCCCUAACGUUCUUUUCUUCUUCACUUCUUCACUGCCUCAAUUCAAACAAACCCUAACGUUACAUUCGUCUCUCUCCGGCAACUGGCACCCCCUUCGCCGGCAACCGGCACCCCUUCUCCGGCAACCGGCGCUCCUCCUCCUCCUCCUCUGUUCUUCUUCAGUGAUUCAAUUUGGGGGAAAAGCAGAUUCAGCUUCAGAGAUUGAGAAAGUGUUGAUUUUUAUGAGGGAAAAAUGAAAAUCACUGUGUUCCAGAGAAGAAUUCAACUUCCUGAAAUAGUGGAACAAAAAUUGGCGAAAUAUUCUCUUACCCUUUUGACUUGACUAUUUAGUUAGUUCAAUUAAUGUUUGUUACAUAGAAACUUGAACUUGUUUGGUUAUUUCUGGUUUUUCAACACCAACUUUUUUCUCACUGAUGCAAUCUUAGUAUCUUGUUCUAAAUUAGUUCCUCGUCUGUUAAAAAUUUGUACCUUUUUGCAUAAACAUGGGAGAUGUUAGGCUUAAUAGGGUAGAUCAGGGACAAACAAAGAUUAAGAAUGUUCCAAUAGCUGUUACCCCUGAAGGGUUUUGGUGUUGUCCCUCACCUGUUGUGUUUCAGAAAAGUCAUAAGCCUCAAAAUCCUUUGAAUAAGACCAAACCUUCUUCUUCGACACCGCAACCACAACCGAAAGCCAGUGUUCAGAAAAAGCCGGUGGCAGUGCAAGUGACGGAGAGAAGAGGUUCUACACCUGCACCGGCACCUGCAUCGUCUAGAUUGGUGAUUUCAGAUGAUCAAAAUUGUGGUGUUGGUUCGGAAAGGUCAUCCGCUGGUACUUCUUUGGCUGCGGAGAGAUUAUCUUCUAGACCAAAAAUCGAAACCAUGCUAAGAAAGGUAGCUAUUGAGUUUGGUGAGCCGGGAACUUGUGAUAUGAAGGUGGUUUUAUUAGGGAAACAAGGUUUUUCUGUUAAGUUGAGUGUGCAUAGGGAUGUUCUGAUAGAGAAGAGUAGUUUCUUUUCUGAAAAGAUUUCCAAACAAUCGGAUUGGUCUUGUUUACAAAUUGGAGAUUGUGAGGAUGUUGAAAUAUAUGUUGAAGCCGUUGGUUUGAUGUACUGCAAGGAAAUGAAACAGCGGCUCAUGAAACAGAAUGUUUCUCGCAUUCUCCGAAUUCUUAAGUGGAGCAUGUGAUUUUGGACGGAGGGGUAAAAAAAUGGUUCCUCACGAUGAUGUCUCGUGAACGUGUGAACUGUGAAGCAACCAACAGAGCUGAGACACAGGAGACAGAGGAGGGGUUGAACCUCUAAACCCCUAUUACACACUCAAACAUUUAGUACUAGGGUUUUAAGAGAGUUGGCUGAAGACCUCGUCAGGAAUCAGAUUCUCCUAUGUCUACCUCAACUUUGACAGACAGAGGUCUAGAGUGAGUUCGGAUAGAGGACUCUUUUAAACUAAACCGGUGGGGGUUGCAUAUGUAGGAAGGCUCAAGCUUUCGAACUGCGUAACAAAAGCGACUCCUUGUUGGUGUAAGAUAGGUGAUGAUCUGAUUCACCAAUGUAUGUUAUAACCUGAUGGAUCAUGCGUGUGGAGAAUAUCUCUCGUGACUCUGGAUUUCCUUACCUUUUGAGGGUUCAACUCGGUGAGUGCCUCAACAAUUCUUCAUCCUGACUAUCCCGAACAAUGUCCCAAUCUUCUUGAUUGGAUCAAGCAUAAUUUACAGGAUCAACAAGUUUACUCUGUCUUAUUCGUUCCGCAUUCUUUCUAUUAAACAGCGCCUCUGUUUGUGUUGCACUUCUCACUGAUUUAUUUUAUCUGAUUUAAUUUUUGCCAUGUCUGCAUGUCUCUUUAUUUUCCCAGGUUCAAAUCAAAUGAUGAGAGGACUCCCGGCUUAUCACAUUAUCGACUAGACAUUUCCUUAUCUUGGCAAUAUAUUCAACAGCCUUGUCCAGAUUGCUAAUCCACCCAUUGAAGUUGCAGAUCUCAUCAAGCUUAUCCGUAUGAUAUUCUGGUCCUUCGUAUAUGUAAGUUUUUUUCCCUCACACCAUCCAAUGGCCGCAGUUGCAUUUGUUAUUUAUAACCUGUUUUUCUAUUUGAAAUGGGAGCUGAUACUGUAGAUGGGGAUGAAGCUGCUAGUAGUAAUUUUAGAAGGUUGGCUGAUCAGGUCUGUGGAUAUAAUUCUGAAGACCCAAAGAACAUUUGUUAGACUUUUUAGGAAUGGAACUUCUUGUUAUUCUCUAUCGGAAAACAAAAUAUAAAUUGUGCAUUUUUAUUUGAACAUUAUAUCCUUUUGUAAUUUAUUAUUUGUUUUCAUUUAAUGACUUUUUUUUUAUCUUAAAUUCUUAUUUUCAUUUUGCAUUCCGGACCAAUGAUGAUGAUGAUAUGAUGACUCAGAUGAUGACGAAGAUUUGAAGUUCUCAAUUGAUGAGUUGGAUUUUUUUAUUUUUUUGUGGAUACAACAAAAGAAAAUGAGGAUUUUGAAGCUGCCACAGCUGAAGGAGGGAAUGGAAUUAAUGUUGCCACUAUUGAAGGAGGGAAUGAAAUUGAAUUUGCCACUACUAUAAAUGAAUUGGAGAUUCAUAACCUUGAUGAUGAGUUUGAUGGAGAAGAAGAUUCUCGCCUUGAUGAUCAGAAUGCCUUGAAAGAUUAGUUAAGUGAUAUAUUUUAGAUGAUAUUUGAGUUAAGAUGAUGUAGUUUGGAAUGUGUUUGAAACAAUUAUAUUUUGAGUUGCUGUUAUGAAUAUUAUGAUUGAGGAAAUUAUGUUUUUUUUAAUUGAAUAUUUGCUAUUAUGAUUAAGUUAAUGAGAAUUUUAUGUUACGAUCCGAAUUAAGAUCCUAUGAUUUACGCUUUCUUUAAUUUUGUCUAUUUGUUGGGAUCUAACGAUCCGAGUUAUACGAUCCUACGAGCUUUUUCCAUACCCUAACGAUCUUUACCUGGCUUCUCACGACUCUCUGAUGCGGUUCUUCCUCGCGUCAUCAGAUGCGUUCAUUUGCAUCGGGUAUGGGAUGAAAUUCAUAAGCAUAUUUUUGCUCACAGAUGCAAAAUCGAUACAGUUGUGAUCUGAAUUGAAGUCGACCGCAAAAUGUGAUCAAUCUAUCACUGAGUAUCUUGUGUGAAUUCAAUGAAUUGUUGACGUUCUUGAAUCGAUCGAAGAUUCAAUUUCACAUUGUGAUCGGUUGGAACAGAUUCUAGAUGGAUUACCAGAUGAAUUUGGUGCCAUAGGUUCGAUUAUUCAGGAUCACCCAUCUUGUGCCUUAUUAUUGAAGCAGUCAAUGUUGCUAUCUCACAAGGCAAAAUUGGAUUGUGCGAAGAAAUCGGUUAUGAAUGAACCUUUUUUCCAUCAAUGUAGCUCACACCUCAAAUCCUGUGCAGAAUUUGCCAAUACAGCCCGCUCUUGUAGACCAGUCCAUGUCAGUCGAUUGAUUCUACCACUAAAUUGAGUGGAAAUCGUGCAUUUAGAGUAGGUAGAAGCUUUGGUCGUGGCAGAGAAGGCUGGUUUGGAGGUAGUUCUAGAGUUCAGUGUCAAAUGUGCUCUAAGCUUGGGCGUGAAGCUAGUGUGUGCUAUCAUAGGCAUUCAUCUAUGAUGCCUUUUCAGAGUCAGUGGCAAUAUUCAUCUCCAAGUCAUUGGCAGCGUGCACCUUAAAAUCACCGCCUCAGCCUGUGGUGAACUACAGUCAGUGGCUGUCAUCAGCUACACGUGGUCCUCCACCUAGUUCUCCUCAUAGAUCAGGAGUUCAACCUCAAGCCUUCUUUACGGGGACAAGUAGUAUUGAAUGUAAAGUUAGAAUAGAUAACUAUUUCAUAUCUACUGUAAUUAAUAAGACUGACAAUUGUCAGGAUAGGAAAGCUCUCACCUCUUACCUGCUAUAUAGCAGGCUUCCAUUGGUUGCUUUAUAUUAUAUAAGGCAACAAGCGUCAGUUUACAACUAACUUUCAAUAUCAAUGAAAUUCUGUUAUAACAGAAAUGAAAACCUCUACUCUACAAUCUAAUAUGGUAUCAGAUUGCUGAGUUGAUCCAUGGCAGGUAUUACUCCACUGGUCUCGCCUCCUUCCUCCGCUCGUGUUUCCCCUGCUCCUGUGCCAGAGUUAAACCCGUAUGAUUCACGCCGAUUACACUUUAAGCUCAUGAUCGCGCAAAAGUUGGAUGAAAACAACUUUCAUCUAUGGCGUCAGCAGGUGGAACCGUAUAUCAACGCUCAUGAUCUCACUGAUCUUGCUGUUAUAAGUUUACUAUCACUAUCAACAUUUUCGUGGUGGUAGAUUUGGUAGAGGUCGUGGUGGCAGGUCCUCAACCUCCAAUAUUCAAUGCCAAGUGUGUUAUAAGACUGGUCAUUCUGCUCUUAACUGUUGGCAUAAGUUUAACUAUCACUUUUAACCUGUGGCUAGUGGAAGCAGUUACAUGCAGCAUCAGUGGCAUGGUGCUCCUUCCCAAGCCUCUCCUAAUGUGUGGUCAAGACCUCUCACUUCAUCAGCAUUUGCUCCAUCCAUCACAAAUUCUCCCAGUACUUUUGUUGCAAACUCCUUAUCUUCAACCUCAGGAUUAUUUAGUAUUGCCUAUCCCUGUGCCCUAUUAUUGAAGCAGAGUCAACGUUGCUAUUUCACGAGGCGAAAUUGGAUCGUGUGAAAUUGGAUCUCAAUGAACCUCUUUCCAUCAAUGUAGCUCAUGCCUCAAAUCCUGUGCAGAACUCGCCAAUACAGCCUGUUCCUGUAGACCAGUCUAUGUCGUCUGUUGAUUCUACCUCUUAAUUAAGUGGAAACCGUGCAUUUAGAGGAGGUAGAAGCUUUGGUCGUGGCAGAGGAGGCAGGUUUGGAGGUCGUUCUAGAGUUCAGUGUCAAAUAUGCUCUAAGCCUGGGAAAUGAAGCUAGAAUGUGCUAUCAUAGGCAUUCAUCUAUUAUGCCUUUUCAGAAUCAAUGGCAAUAUCCCUCUCCAAAUCAUUGGCAGCGUGCACCUUAACCUUACUAGAACUAAUGGUCUCAAUCAUCACCUCAGCCUGUGAACUACAGUCGGUGGCUGUCAUCAGCUACAUGUGGUCCUCCACCUGGUUUUCCUCCUAUAUCAGGAGUUCAACCUCAAGCCUUGUUUAUGGGGACAAGUAGUAUUGAAUGUAAAGUUAGAAUAGGUAACUAUUUCAUAUCUACUGUAAUUACUAAGAUUGACAACUGUAUGUACAGGAAUAGCAGGUUUCCCUAUGUUGCUUUAUAUAAGGCAACAAGGGUCAGUUUGCAACUAACUUUCAAUAUCAAUGAAAUUCUGUUAUAACAGAAAUGAAAACCUCUAUUCUACAGUCUAUAAUAUGGUAUCAGAUUGCUGAAUCGAUCCAUGGCAGAUAUUACUCCACCAGUCUCGCCUCCUUCCUUCGCACAUGUUUCCCCUGCUCCGGUGCCAGAGUUAAAGCCGGAUGAUUCACUCUGAUUACACUUUUCGCUCAAAAUCACGCAAAAGUAGGUUGAAAAGAACUUUCAUGUAUGGCGUCAGCAGGUGUACCUUCACCUAACUUGAACCAUUGGUCUCAAUCAUCACCUCUGCCUGUGGUGAACUACAAUCAGUGGCUGUCAUCAGGUACACGUGGUCCUCCAUCUGGUUUUCCUCCUAGAUCAGGAGUUCAACCUCAAGCCUUCCUUACAGGGACAAGUCAGAGUUGGUAUCCAGAUUCAGGUGCCACUCACCAUGUAACCAACAAUACUUGACUAUUUGUCUCAGUAUUUCUCUUCCUGGAACAGAUCAAGUCUUCCUUGGCAAUGGGCAAGGUUUGCGAAUUUUUUCUAUUGGAUUUACACAGUUUAUCUCUCCCUACAAAUCACACACUACACUAGCUCUUAAAAUUUACUGUUAGGGCCCUAUAUUACUAAGAAUUUGAUCUCAGGAAGUUUGCUCGAGACAAUGCAGUGUACUUUGAGCUUCAUGCUGAUUAGUGUCUGGUUAAAUCUCAGGCUUCUUCUGAGGUAGUGCUUCAAGGGACAGUGAACAAGGAUGGCCUAGGACCCUCAUUAUAUACUAUGUGGCACAGGCAUCCUCGUCAUGAGGUUCUCAAAGCAUAUUUUACAGUUGCACAAUGUUAAUGUGCCUCACAAGUCUCCAUUGGGUUUUUGUAGCCCAUGUUGUUUGUGUAAAGUGCAUAGGUUACCUAGUAGUGCCUCCACUGCUGUCUACUCAUACCCUUUUGAAUUGUUAUUUGCUGAUGUUUGGGGACCUGCCCCCAAUGCUUUCUAUUGCUGGAUUUAAAUACUUGUUAACUUGUGUUGAUGCAUGCACCAAGUUUACUUGGGUAUUUCUCUUUAAAUUGAUAUUAUAUGUCGUACUCACUUUCACACACUUUCUCACUGCAGUAGAAGUUGAGUUUAAUAUAAAAGUGAAAUCAGCUCAAAAUGAUGGAGGGGGUGAAUUUACAGCUCUAACUUCUGUAUUUAAUUCCAAAGGAAUUGCACACAGACUUGCUUGUCCACACACACACCAUCAUAAUGGCUCAGUUGAGCGCAAGGAUAGGCAUGUUAUUGAGACUGGUCCACACACACACCUUCAAUAUGUGGUUACCGAAGUUGUAGUGGAAAAACAUGACUAUAAGGUCUUGGAGGGUUUAGUUUUUUACAUAUGUAUCUGAUACGAAUUGUAUUCUAGAAUUUUCAGUGACUAGUUUAUGCGUAUCCGAUAUGUAUCUAUCCGAUAUCCGUAUAUAUCCGUAUCAUGUCCGUGCUUCAUUGUUUUUAGCUCUAAUUUCAAAAAAUACAAGUUCAUAAUUUUUGUUUGAAUACCAACCAAUCUUCAUAGGUAGUAUGUACCAAAUUAUCGAAAUUUUUUGUAUCAAGGCUGAAGAGGGUGUUUUUAAAGGUAAUAUGUAGCGUCAUUCAUCUUUCACGGUUAAUAGACAAAUUUUGAUGUGUUUUGGUGGUAAAUGAGUUGGUAGAUUUGACUGAAAAUAGAAAAUAUAUUUGACUUUUAUUAUAGGUUAUGUUAAUAAAAAAACAUGAUUCUGUUAGUAGAUUUGACUGAAAAUAGAAAAUAUAUUUGACUUUUAUUAUAGGUUAUGUUAAUAAAAAAACAUGAUUCUGUUAGUAGGGAUAUAUAUAGAUAGAUAGGUAGACUUCUGCGACCUUUGAGUCGGCGAUACAAAUAUCGUCGCCAAGGAUAGCAUACUUAUCAAAGCGCUUCCACGGAUAUAUCUUCUCCGCACACCACCAAAUGGUGGGACAGUGUAAAGAGCGGCCAAGAAGCGAGAUAUCCAACCAAGAGGUUGCCCUGAUCCUUGGGCUGAUAGUCAAGUAAUUUGCUCUUGAAUGACAGGUCUACUCUCGGAUACAAAGGUUCUAUGUUCAAGCAAUUGGGCCAACUUUCAUUGGAUUCUUCCAAAGUAGGUGAAGGUCUUUGGCUCUUUUUGGUAAGUCUUCUCGGAGUAAGAACCUUUCUUUUUGAGCUGGCGCGGAGACCUAUGGUCUCCAUUCCGCCUUAUCUUUGCUCUAUGUCGGUGUGAAGUUGCUAGCAUAAUAUGGUAAGCAGCGGGCUUUCUAUCCUCAGAGGUUCCGGUCACGCUAAAGUUACUAUAUAUAUAUAUUAU